rnacentral:tRNA from 1 species
GGCUCUAUAGAAUACUGGUUAUUUCACCGGACUGUCACUUCGGAGAACCGGGAUCAUAACCCGGUAGAGUCG